UUUCCUUGGCCAUUGCCUCUUCAACCAUGACUUCUAUUACAAUAGGAAUGUCAAUCACUUUCACCUGUCUUCAAUUUAGAUCUUUCCUCUAACACCCGGAUAUGUAAUUCAACUCUUAACUUGAUAUCUCACUUGGAAGAGUUACAAGCCUCUCUGAAAAAAAUCCAUACAGGAUGGAAUGCAUGGCAUUUUCUCUGAAACUUCCUCCCUGUCCAGUGUUAUCUACCUUGGAACGAUUGUCUCAUUUAGAGGGACUCUCUAACCUGAGUACACAUUUGAAACAUCUGAGGGCUUUGAAACAUACCUGCUCCUGGACCACCUGCUGAACCAAUUAAAUCAGAAUUUCUGUUGUGAAGAUCUCCACGUGAGUUUAAGCUUUCCUGCUCAACUGUUAGUUCCAUGAAGGCAACAGCCAUGCCUGCUUCGUUCACUGAAAUAUCUUCGUUUCCUAACACACAGAAAGUCAUCAUUUUUUGACGGAUGAAAGAAUGGAUGAAUGCCUAGUCUUGGAGACAUCUACUUGCAAUAAAGGUGAAGAAACAGAGGCAAAGGGAGCAUAAGCAAUUUUCCAAAGGCCAUACAACAUGUAAGUGGCUGAGCCAAGACUGAAAUCACCAGGUUCUUAACCACUAGGCCAUAUUGCAUUGGAGUGUUGCCUCCUGGAGUAAGACUAGGCUAAAAGCUUCAUAGAAACCUAAAGGAGUUAGAGAAGGAAGAUCUCUCAAUGGAAAUGCUAAGAAGAGACACAAGGAAAGACACAUCACUAAGGAGAGACCCAAGGAAAAUGGCUCUAUGACUACAGUCCAUUUAAAGAAUGAGGGCGUUCCUUCUACCAAGUUACAGGUGGAGAUGUGUUUACCUGCUGGAUACCAAUGCUUCUAGCAUCAGGGAGAAGUUGAGCCCUGGAGGAAACAUUGCCUCUAAGUUUGUGUUCUGCUUUCCUGAAAUCCCACGUAACCCACAAUAGCUCUCAAAAGCUUCAAAAAAUAGUGAUGAAAAAGGUUAACUCUGAUGCUGUUCUGGAGCUGAAAGCAGAUUUUGACCUUGGAUAAACAUGCUGGAUUUUCGCUAUUGAAUGUAUUGGGCACAAUUCAAGGUGCUACAUACUGCAAAGCAAAGUAUCUACAACAACUGCAAUAAGCCACCCUGAUCAUUCUUCAACCUAAAGAUUUGCAACUCAUCCAAGUUCAACUGGUUGAAAGAGCCUGCCUCCUCACAGCAGUGCCUGAUUGACACUAUGAACUGAAAUACUAAAGGCACUUCUUCUUUCAGGAUAACUGAUUAAAUGUUCUGGCUGGUAAAGCAGGUCAUCACUCAACUGUUGUGGCUUUGGCAAGAUGCCACCAAAGCAGCCCAUCAUGGUUGGCAGAGAUGUAAAGGCCCCACAUAUUACAGAACACCCUUUGAUAUGCAGACUAAUUAAUAGAAGACCUAAGCCUUUCAAGGGACUUCUAUACCAUAGGAUGUUAGGAGACAUCAAGAACACAAAUGAAACUAAGAUUUUCAUACAGGGUUCAGGUUUUGUUACUUCAGAUCUAUAAUCUAAAGUUCUGUAAUCAUCACAUCACUCCAAGAACAAAAUUUGAUAGGCAAAAUUCUUCACACUCAUUUCAUGGAGAACCUUGAGGGUCCAGAGUGAGGCUUGAUGGCAAGCAGGAGCUCCCUGUCCCCUGUCUCCACCCAUGCAACCCCUAGCUCCCCCAUUGUUUUCACUCUAGAUUUGUGAAGUAUAACAACCUUAAAAUCUUAAGAUUUAAUCUUUAAAUAUUAAGAGAUUUGGGUUUCUGUAUCAACAAUCUUUAAAUAUUAAGAGAUUUUUCCGAAGAUUAAUGACUUUCCUAGAGUUGGCCUACAAAUUCACCACCUCAACUGGAUGACUUGCUUUGGAAUAAAUUUCUAACACCGCAAGUGAAUUGAAUAUUUUCUUCCUUUUUUAUGUAAUCUAAUAUAGUACAUUUUUAAAAAUUUAUAGGAUGUCCAGACACUUAUAGCUUAUCAUUCUAUGAUUCAAAAGAAUUUGGUAUAAUUGCAUUGAUAAGCUUACUGCCCUGGGCACCAAAGUAACCUAGAAUAUGGAGAAGUAGCUUUUGGUGACAUGCAUCUAUUUAUAUCUCUAGCAUUUACUAAUUAAUUAAUUUGUUUAACAAAUACACAUUCAGUACCAUUAUAUGUUUGGCAUUGUCAUAGAUGUUAGAAAAUCAAAUAUAAAAAAGAGGUAAUUUCUUCACAACACACGGAAAUAAGAGUAUCUCUAGGAAUUGUCUCUAGUUGAAAUUGUUUUCUCCUACCCACCUCUACGAUUCAUCAAUUUAGCUUUCCUUCACUGUAGUGACAGGUGUUUUAAUCUCACCUAACAAUAUGCCUGAUUAAGCUUCAACAUACACAGAGAGAGGCCUGAAAAACAUAACUUGGUCUCUAUGUCUAAGUUUAUGUUGUUAGUAAUAGUUAUAAGAGCCACAGCGAUGGCACCAUGGCGUUACCUUCUCUGAAGGCUUUCCCAGCUUUCCUAGCAAAGCUCUUUUCUCUUCCCUCUGGUUAAAAAAUAAAUAAAAAAAAAAUAAAGGUUUUUCCUUUAUUGUUAUUCUUAUGUGUCUGAUUUUAUCACAUUUAUUGUUUUGUUUUCUGAUUGUAUAAGUCAUACAUGCUCAUUUAGAAAACUUGGAAACUAUGGAAAAAGAGAAAUAAAAAAUAAAAUCCACUCUAAUCUACCUUGUUUCUAUCUCUAAGGUAGCAUUCGUCACUUUGGUAUGAAGUUGAUGUGAGUAGAUCUGUCUAAUCAACUAAAUUUGGAGCUUCUCCUGAGAAGAACGCAUGUAUUCAGCUCUGUAUUCCAGCUGUAGGAAGUGUGUGAUGUAUUGGAAACAUCCCAUAAUUUUGAAUAAUGGACACUGGAGCCAAGAUCCCUGCCACUUGGUGCUGUCAUGAACGGUCCCAGGGUAAUUUCCCUGAUGUGCAGGUGUGCCGCAGUGCAUGGGCCGUCUCUGGAAUCCAGCUCAACAUUUGAACAAAGAGAGAAAUUAGCUCGCCCUUUGCCCUCAGGAGAGGAAACCUGUGUCAGAAAAUAUCAGCCAUGUCUCCAAGCUAAAACUGACCAAACCCCAAGCUUUAAUUGUCGGAUGGGCCCUUACAUUCUGGAAUGUCCUAAACUCCAGAAUCUCACCACCACUGGUGCUGCACAAGGGGAAAUGGGGGAGGCAGGCCUGUCUAAGGGGCCAGUCCAUAGGGAUACAUGGCUAGAAAUAUCAGAAGGACUUCAUUAGGGCAGCAUGUCACCUAUACAGUCACCUAAUACAGUCUUCAUGCCAGGGUCCCCCAAGGAUUAUGUUAUAGAAAUGUUCUAGUGAACUUCAAAAAUUAGAGAAGGAAUGCAGUGAUUUAUCCUAACAAGAGAUAGUUCUAUGUUCAGAUGGAAAAUCUGAGUUAAAUGAACUUUGUGGGGGUUAGAUACCUUCAGAGUAAAAGCUCACUUUGAAUACAACAUUACAGAAAUGAAGGUGUAUUUUAUGUUGUAUCAACCAUCUUUUUGAUGAGGGCAGCACUACCCGGACUAAGCUUCAGGCAAGAUUGCAGGGUCUGGGACUUUAAUUUAGAAUUGAAGUAUGUUAAAGCUGGAAGAAUCCUUAGAAGCCUUCUGAGCCAGUUAUUCCCAAACAGGUGCUUAAAAAUCGUGUAGGGAGGCUACAGUAACCAAAACAGCAUGGUACUGGUACCAAAAAGGAGAUGUAGACCAAUGGAACAGAACAGAGCCCUCAGAAAUAAUACCACACAUCUACAACCAUCUGAUCUUUGACAAAACUGACAAAAACAAGAAAUGGGGAAAUGAUUCCCUAUUUAAUAAAUGGUGCUGGGAAAACUGGCUAGCCACAUGUAGAAAGCUGAA
rnacentral:lncRNA from 10 species